AAUUUCAACCUUUUUUUUUUUUAAGAAAAACCUAUAUUAUUAAAUAUUCUAAUGAAUAAUUUUUCUCAUUCAUAUAUGUUAGAACUAAAACCGAGAAGAUCUAGUUCGUCGGAUGCGAAAAUACCAAAAGAGAUCCGAGAAAGAGAGAAGAAAAAUAAAGCACAUAAUAUUUACGUGGUUCGGCCAACGGCCUACGUCCACGGGCGAAGACGGAGCAGAGAUCUUCAUUAUAAUCAAAGUGGUGUACAAAAUAUGCCUAUCUCACAAAACCCUAAUCCCAAAAAUACACCCAUAUUCGCUCUCUCAUCUUCCGCACUAAAUCAAUAGCAGAAAGGGUAUAUUUAUAAUAGUGGCUAAAUCCUAAUACAAUUAGGAAUACAAACCCACUAAGAUUAGGAAUAUCUCAAUAAAAUUAGGCAUAAUCUAAACUUAACUUAAUGAGAUAAUCAAAAUAGAAUAGGGAUAGAAAAUCUUGCGGUACUAGAAUUCGAGACAUAUCU
rnacentral:lncRNA from 1 species